UCCAGACUCCUACGGGAGGCAGCAGUGGGGGAUAUUGCACAAUGGGGGAAACCCUGAUGCAGCGACGCCGCGUGAGUGAAGAAGUAUUUCGGUAUGUAAAGCUCUAUCAGCAGGGAAGAAAAAAGACGGUACCUGACUAAGAAGCCCCGGCUAACUACGUGCCAGCAGCCGCGGUAAUACGUAGGGGGCAAGCGUUAUCCGGAUUUACUGGGUGUAAAGGGAGCGUAGACGGCAAUACAAGUCGGAAGUGAAAUCCCCGGGCUCAACCGGGGAACUGCUUUGGAAACUGUAUGGCUGGAGUGCUGGAGAGGUAAGCGGAAUUCCUAGUGUAGCGGUGAAAUGCGUAGAUAUUAGGAGGAACACCAGUGGCGAAGGCGGCUUACUGGACAGUAACUGACGUUGAGGCUCGAAAGCGUGGGGAGCAAACAGGAUUAGAUACCCGAGUA
rnacentral:rRNA from 1 species